rnacentral:rRNA from 1 species
UACGAAGGGGGCUAGCGUUGCUCGGAAUCACUGGGCGUAAAGGGUGCGUAGGCGGGUAUUUAAGUCAGGGGUGAAAUCCUGGAGCUCAACUCCAGAACUGCCUUUGAUACUGAGGAUCUUGAGUUCGGGAGAGGUGAGUGGAACUGCGAGUGUAGAGGUGAAAUUCGUAGAUAUUCGCAAGAACACCAGUGGCGAAGGCGGCUCACUGGCCCGAUACUGACGCUGAGGCACGAAAGCGUGGGGAGCAAACAGG